AAAAGGAGAUAAAUGUAAUCACACAUCAAUUAGUAUUAUUAGGCAUAAAGGUGUGGACAAGGAAUGCUUAAUUACUUGGAGUGGGUGGCUAUGGUGUGUAGAUGAUUACAGAUUUGAAUGGGCUUGGACAUCAUGACUAUGUGAUCUGAUCCAGAGACAUAAAUCACGUGUGGGGGGAAGACACCAUCUUCUUCUGAGACGACUCACGGGGCAGGCACCUUUUUCAUCAUCAACGUUGUUGCCAGCUUUACAUCACCAAUCCUCAUAUCAAAUACAAAAACAAAUGCAAAUCAAAGUCACAUCACAUCACCACCACCUUUACUUUGCCUUUUAUUCACAACAAGGCUUCCAACAAUAGUUGUUCAAGGGAAAACACCAAUUGAAGCAUGGAUGGGAGUAAAUUCCUCUGCCACUUGAAGAUUUUUGGAUCAAUCUGCUAUGUUCAUGUUGCAGCAGUUAAAAGAUCCAAAUUGGAUGACAAAGCUGAAAUGAGAAAUUUCUUAGGCUAUGCUUCAGGCUCUAAAGGUCAUAAAGUGUAAAAUUUGAAGUCAAAACAAAUUGUGAUCAAACCAGGACAUUCAAUUUGAUGAAAAUGCAUAUUGGGAUUGGGAAAAUGGUGAAGUUCGUAGAAGCAUGAAGUCUGAACAACAACAAGAUACAAAUGAUGAUGAAAUUCAGAUUGCUGAAUUUGAUUCCCCGGUGCUGAAAACAAAGUCUUUGACUGAAAUUUAUGAAAAAUGCAACUUUGUUGUGCAUAGGCCUUCUUGUUUUGAAGAAGUCUCAAUGCAAAAAGAAUGAAAUGAUGCAAUGAAGGAGGAGCUGAUUAUGAUUAACAAAAAUGGUACUUGGGAACUUACUCCCAAGGACAAGCAUGUGAUUGGUGUGAAAGUGGUUUAUAGAACAAAGUUAUAUCCUGAUGGUUCCAUUAUCCUGAUGGUUCCAUUCAGAAACAUAAAGCUAGACUUGUUGUGAAGGGAUAUUCUCAAAUGACUGGAGUUGAAUAUAGUGAUACAUUUGUGCAUGUUGCUAGGCAUGAAACAAUUAGAUCAAUUGUUGCUUUAUCAACUCAAUGUGGAUGGAAAAUAUUUCAUUUGGAUGUCAAAUUAGCUUUUCUAAAUGGAGUUUUGGAGGAAGAAAUUUAUGUUGAGUAGCCUGCUAGUUUUAUCGUUGCAGGUCAUGAAGACAAUGUUUAUAGGCUUCGCAAAGCCUUGUAUCCAAGAGCUUGGUACAACAGAAUUGAUUCACACUUCCUGCAAAAUGAUUUCAGGAGGAGCCAAAAUGAAUCUACUCUUUAUGUCAAAGAGUGUGACUUUGGAAAGCAAAUUAUUGUUUCACUUUAUGUUGAUGAUUUGCUUGUUACAGGUGAUGAUGUUGAUGAAAUUGACAAAUUUAAAAGUAGCAUGUUGCAAGUUUUCUAAAUGACAGGUCUUGGAAUGAUGAAGUAUUUCUUGGGAAUGGAAGUAGAUCAACUUGAUGAUGGAAUCUUUCUCUCACAGAGAAAGUAUGUUGUUGAUUUGCUAAAGAAAUUCAAAUUGGAGAGUUGUAAUCCCGUUACAACUCCACUUGCUGUAAAUGAAAAGCUCUCUAAGAAUGAUGGCGAUGCAAAGGUUGAUGUAACUCAGUAUAGAAGUUUGAUUGACAGCCUUCUUUUCUUGACUGCAACUAGACCAGAUUUGAUGUUUCUGCUAUUUUGAUUUCAAGGUUCAUGGGUGCACCAAGUUUAACACACUUUAGUGUAGGCAAAAGAGUGCAGAGAUAUUUGAAAGACACGGUUGGUUGAUUUUGGCAUUUGGUACUACAAAGGAGAUGGUAAGUUUGAAGGUUAUGUUGAUAGUGAUUGGGCUAAUUCUAUUGAUGAUUCAAAGAGCACAACUGGAUUUGUCUUUUCACUUGGCAAUGGUGUGUUCACAUGGAAUUCUAAGAAGCAAGGUGUAGUUGCUCAAUCUUCAGCUAAAGCUGAGUAUAUUGCUGCAACAACUGUCUCAAAUCAAGCUAUUUGGAUUAGAAAGGUAUUGACUGACUUGAAUCAUGUGCAAGAAGAAUCUAUUGUGGUAUGGUACGACAACAAAUUAACUAUUGUUAUUGCUAAAAUUCCAAUUCAACAUGGAAGAACCAAGCAUAUCAAUGCCAAAUUUCAUGCUGUAAGAGAUGCGGAGAAGAAUGGAGAUGUUCAAUUGAUGCACUGCAGCUCUGAAGAGCAAAUUACAGACAUUUUAACUAAGGCACUUCCAUGUGCUAAGUUUAAUGUGUUGAGGAGCAAGCUUGGAAUGUUCAAGAAAAGUUUUAAGGAGGAGUGUUAGACAUAACGGGCUAUAAAACUUUUCUGAUUUAUUAUUUACUGUUGUAAUGAUGUUUAAUUGUUCAGCUUGCUUGCUUGUGUCAGUAAGCAAUGUUCCUAUUAGUGGUUUUUAAUUUGAGCAAAACUGCACUCUCUGAUGUGAGUGGUUGCAUGUAUUUUAGUAACAACAUGUAUAGGUAUCAUGAUGGAUUGUCACUUUUCAUGUAUUUGCACUUAAAUAUGAAUGGAAACAUACAAAACAGUAUGGAUGUUCAGCAUGAA